rnacentral:rRNA from 1 species
UACGGAGGGGGCGAGCGUUAUUCGGAAUUAUUGGGCGUAAAGGGCGCGUAGGCGGCCCGCUAAGUCAAAGGUGAAAUCCCUCGGCUCAACUGAGGAACUGCCUUUGAGACUGUCGGGCUUGAGGCCGGGAGGGGGUAGCGGAAUUCCCAGUGUAGCGGUGAAAUGCGUAGAUAUUGGGAGGAACACCAGUGGCGAAGGCGGCUCUCUGGGACGGUACUGACGCUGAGACGCGAAAGCGUGGGGAGCGAACAGG